AUAGCUUUGGAAUUUGUUUGCUCUUUGUUCUCCUGUUCUUUUAGUCUUGAUGUCAGAUUGUUAACUUGAGAUCAUUCUAACUUUUUGAUGUAGGCAUUUGGUGUUAUGAAUUUCUCUCUUAACACUCCCUCAGCUUUCAUUACACCUCAAGA